GGCGCGUGCGACGGCCGGGCGGCGCGGGGCGAGCCACGGUCUGGAGCGGCAACGCGUGGAUGAGUCGGGCAUCCCGUCUUCCUCCUGUGUAGAAGAACCACCAUGGAGGCCGGAGUUGGAUGCCACGCCGUUGGGGAGCCCGAGCGUUGUCGGGUGCUGGCGAGUGCACUGACUCGGUUCAGUUAUCCAGUCCGUGUCGACUUCCAAUUGAUUACUCUUCACAUGUGCGGAGAAAAGCGUUGGGACGGGCGCUGUCGGCAUAGACGGAGCCCGUGCGGUCAGGCAGGGCGACCCUAGUCUGCAACGCCAAGCUCCAUGGCGUUGCAGCCUGCAUAGAAGCGCCAAAGUGCAUGGCGUUUUUCGUGCGGUCUGCAACGCCGCAGUAGACAGACGUCUGUAUUUAGAGCAGAAACGUGAGAGUAGACUGGCGUUUUUAUAUACACCAACAACGCCACGGGUUCUGACGUUUCUAAAAGGAUUAGAUCGUGAAAUACUUUCAGAUCGAGUUUAUUCUGUGCAUUUUUUUUCGUCUUGUGGGUCAAAACAGUGAAAAAAACCUUGAUAUUAUUGGUUCCACAUGACUUCUUGAUGUGAUAGUAA